UCUACCUUAAAGAGACUCAGAGAGAGAGCACAGAGACAUAACCUGUGAGUAGAAUCAUGGGGUUACAUGGUCUGCUGUAGGGACAUUCAGGAAGAACAAGAGUCAUAUCAAACUCCAGUUCAGUUUGCCAAGGGAGCUGGGGUACAGACACUACUGACAAUAAGGUCAAAACAGGCCCAUGAAAAGGUGCCAAAUACCCAGAUGGGAGCACAGGUCCAGAGUCAGAGGGAUGACUUUAGGAUGGAAUUAAAGAUGCUCAGCAGUGAGGCUGGAACAAGGACAUUGAAGGAGAAGAAAUUCUCCCAUUGCUGGAAAGCAGAAAGAGAGGAGCCACAGUUGAAGGGAACCUCCAACUCUUCUCAUGGGGAAUAAAGGCGGUCCCAUCAACAGUA